AAUCUUCCGCAAUGGACGAAAGUCUGACGGAGCAACGCCGCGUGAGUGAAGAAGGNCUNNGGGUUNUNAAACUCUGUCAACAGNNNNNAAGUGCUAACGUGUGAAUAAUGCGUUAGAGUGACGGUACCUGAGGAGGAAGCCCCGGCUAACUACGUGCCAGCAGCCGCGGUAAUACGUAGGGGGCAAGCGUUGUCCGGAAUUAUUGGGCGUAAAGGGCGCGUAGGCGGAUCAUUAAGUCUGGUGUGAAAACCCAGGGCUCAACCUUGGGAUUGCAUUGGAAACUGAUGAUCUUGAGUGCAGGAGAGGAAAGUGGAAUUCCACGUGUAGCGGUGAAAUGCGUAGAGAUGUGGAGGAACACCAGUGGCGAAGGCGACUUUCUGGACUGUAACUGACGCUGAGGCGCGAAAGCGUGGGGAGCAAACAGG
rnacentral:rRNA from 1 species